UACAGAGGUCCCAAGCGUUGUUCGGAUUCACUGGGCGUAAAGGGUGCGUAGGUGGCCAGGUAAGUUCGGUGUGAAAGCUCGGAGCUUAACUCCGAAAUGGCAUUGAAUACUAUCUGGCUAGAGGGUCGGAGGGGAGACUGGAAUUCUCGGUGCAGCAGUGAAAUGCGUAGAUAUCGAGAGGAACACCAGUGGCGAAGGCGAGUCUCUGGACGACACCUGACACUGAGGCACGAAAGCCAGGGGAGCAAACAGG
rnacentral:rRNA from 1 species